UUUAACCACGUAAAUAUAACUCGCGGCCCAAACACUUCCUUACCCUAUUCGGAGUCAAUGUGAUAUUAUUAAGUUGUGUUAAAAUUCUAAGUUUGGGAUAAACCCCAUAAGUAUCGAAAACCAAGGUGAGUGCGAGAAAAAAAUAGAAUAAGAAAAAAUGAUCAUCGAAAAAAAAGAGAAAACGAAAUGUACUCGAUGGUUCGAAAUAAGCACUCACCGAAGGAAGAGCGCUCGAUUGAAAA
rnacentral:lncRNA from 1 species